rnacentral:rRNA from 1 species
CCUACGGGGGGCAGCAGUGGGGAAUAUUGCACAAUGGGGGAAACCCUGAUGCAGCGACGCCGCGUGAGUGAAGAAGUAAUUCGUUAUGUUAAGCUCUAUCAGCAGGGAAGAAAAUGACGGUACCUGAGUAAGAAGCCCCGGCUAACUACGUGCCAGCAGCCGCGGUAAUACGUAAGGGGCCAGCGUUAUCCGGAUUUACUGGGGGUAAAGGGAGCGUAGACGGCAGUGCAAGUCUGGAGUGAAAGGUGGGGGCUCAACCCCCGGACUGCUCUUGAAACUGCGCGGCUGGAGUGCAGGAGGGGCAGGCGGAAUUCCUGGUGUAGCGGUGAAAUGCGUAGAGAUCAGGAGGAACACCGGUGGCGAAGGCGGCCUGCUGGACUGCGACUGACGUUGAGGCCCGAAAGCGUGGGGAGCAAACAGGAUUAGAUACCCCUGUAGUC